AUUGAACGCUGGCGGCAGGCCUAACACAUGCAAGUCGAGCGAGCGGCGGACGGGUGUGUAAUGUCUGGGAAAAUGCCUGAUGGAGGGGGAUAACUACUGGAAAAGGUAGCGGAAACAGCAUAUCAUCAGAUGUGCCCAGAUGGGAUUAGCUAGUAGUUUGGGGAACGGUGCACCUAGGCGACGAUCCCUAGCUGGUCGGAGAUGAUGACCAGCAAGACUGGAACUGAGACCAGUUCCAGCCUCCUACGGGAGGAAGCAGUGGGGAUUAUUGGACAAUGGGCUCAAGCCUGAUGCAGCCAUGCGGCGUGUGGGAUGAAGGCCUUCGGGUUGUAAAGCACUUUCAGCGGGGAGGCGUUACCCGCAGAAGAGGCACCGGCUAACUCCGUGCCAGCCGCCGCGGUAAUAC
rnacentral:rRNA from 1 species